AAGUGGAGCUCCUGGAAGGACGCUGGCCUCUCUUGCUGGCUCUCCUUUGGUCCACAGCAGAGAAGCACAUGGCCCCUGUUUGCUUUUGCCUGCAGUCUACAGAGCAAACUCUGCUAGUGACCAGGUUGUUCUUGCAGAGAACUUGUGAAAAUUCAGUGUGUUGAAUAGGUGAGUUCCAAUGGAGUGAGUAUGCUGCAGCCUUUGAAAAGUAGUGCCAAUCAAGAAAGAGCUGGCAGAAACAGACGUAUCAUACAGAUCAGCAUCUGGCUGCCUAGCUGGUGUUGCCAGCAGGAUUUUGGCUUCCGUAAUCAUGAGAUUCUCUUCAAAGACUGUGGGCUACUGUGGAGAGGCUUUUUUUUUUAGAAGGAGCAGAAUUUCAGAACAAAUUGCUGCUACUGCUAAAUCACACAGCAUACAGCUCCUGACUGCUGGGAAAAGAGCUGGAAGUUCUGAAAUAUCAAAGCAAAAUCUGUUCCUGCAAGAUUUCCAUCAGAGAGAGGAUUAACAGUCAACAAAUGAACAUCAGUGCAGUAUCUUUUGAAGUUUCUCCAUCUCUAUUGGUGAUGCUAUAGUGACUCUGUUGUUCCUGGUCUUCUCUUUCUAAAGUCUAUUUGCUUUUUUUUUUUUUUUUUUUCUUUUGGGACAUUUAAUGUAAGUUACUGUAUUUGAAUUUCUGACUCAUCCUCUGUUGUCUGGUUCUGCGUACUGAAAAGUAUCAUUAUAUUCAAAGAGAACUGGUAACUGAAAUUAUAUAGGCUGUCAAUGUUCUCAUUCAGACUUCUCUUCAGCAUUAGAAUUCUGUGUGGUGUUGCAUGCUGUUAGUUGAAGAUUUAUUCUUGAACUUUUUAUUUUCACAAUUCCUUAUUAUCUAAUAACUAUACAGAAAUGUUAAUAGUCUUAUGACUAAACAGGUCAAUAUUCAUAUGAAUAUAUAUUUUUACUUGUUUAAUCUCAAUGAAAUAGCCUAGUAGAAAUUUAACACAUUUAAAACAUUCAAAUAAAAGCUUUUUUUACCCAAUCACAACAACAGCAACAACAAAAACAACAACAAAAACUCUAAUGCUCUUUUUUUGCACUGAAAAAAUCACCAACAUUAGAGUAACUUACAAUGAUAAAUCUCAAAAGACUUAUAUUCUUUAACUCAAGUUGAGACCAUUUGCUUAUUAUACAGGUUCACUGACCCAAAUCUUCUUCAUUCUACAUUAGAGAACUUGACCUGAGAUUUUCUUCUCCCUUCUCCCAGAUAUCACAUAAUGUUAUUUUUGCAUUUUCUGUUGCUGUAAAUAUUUAAUUAGCUACACAAAGUGAAACUAUUCCAAGAAGGAUGACAAAUUCACACUUAAAGUCAUUUGCAAUUGAAAGCUUUUGUAUGCACUGUAAAAUAAAGAUUCUGAACCCAUUUUUUCUUUUAUUUGAAGAAAGAUCUUUGACUUAUGAUUUCUUAACUAUUAAGAGGAAAUCUGUGCUUUGUCUAGCCUCUGCUCUGUUUUCUAGAAAAAUCAGAAAAGUCCUAUUUGUGUCUAGUGUUUAUGGACAUUACCUGCCCAUUUCUUGCUCCUGGCUGAGUUCCAUACAGCCACUAGAAAUCUGAUUUAGCAGGCAAUAUAAGCAUGCUGAAUCACACUAAGCAGUUCAAAAUAAUGUGAUUAAUCUGUUUGUUUCAUUUACCGCAUUCAGAUUUAUGUAGAAACUGGUGAGAGAAGCCCAGGAUCUUAUCAUCUAACAAUUAAACUAAUCUUGCAGUAUAUUUUAUAAUGUGACUCUAGGAUAAACCCCUACCAAAAUUGGCUUU
ensembl:lncRNA